UACGGGGGGGGGCAAGCGUUGUUCGGAAUUACUGGGCGUAAAGGGCUCGUAGGUGGCCAACUAAGUCAGACGUGAAAUCCCUCGGCUUAACCGGGGAAUCUCGUCUGAUACUGGAUGGCUUGAGUUUGGGAGAGGGACGCGGAAUUCCAGGUGUAGCGGUGAAAUGCGUAGAUAUCUGGAGGAACACCGGUGGCGAAGGCGGCGUCCUGGACCAACACUGACACUGAGGAGCGAAAGCCAGGGGAGCAAACGGG
rnacentral:rRNA from 1 species